rnacentral:rRNA from 1 species
AACGAACGCUGGCGGCAUGCCUAACACAUGCAAGUCGAACGAGACCUUCGGGUCUAGUGGCGCACGGGUGCGUAACGCGUGGGAACCUGCCCUUAGGUUCGGAAUAACUCCCCGAAAGGGGUGCUAAUACCGGAUAAUGUCUUCGGACCAAAGAUUUAUCGCCUUUGGAUGGGCCCGCGUUGGAUUGGCUAGUUGGUAGGGUAAAAGCCUACCAAGGCGACGAUCCAUAGCUGGUCUGAGAGGAUGAUCAGCCACACUGGGACUGAGACACGGCCCAGACUCCUACGGGAGGCAGCAGUGGGGAAUAUUGGACAAUGGGCGAAAGCCUGAUCCAGCAAUGCCGCGUGAGUGAUGAAGGCCUUAGGGUUGUAAAGCUCUUUUACCCGGGAUGAUGAUGACAGUACCGGGAGAAUAAGCUCCGGCUAACUCCGUG